GGUUUCCGUAGGUGAACCUGCGGAAGGAUCAUUACUACAACAACAAC
rnacentral:rRNA from 1 species